AAAAACAUCGAUAUUGUUUAUUGUGGCAUCGAUGUGUCUCCACCUCUAGUUAUAUCGUCAAAAAUUUUUGGUCUGUGAACUUCGUGCGGAAGAAAUUCGAUUUGAACGCCUGCGAAAAUAUGCAAAAUAAAGUGAAAUACCAGUGCCUCUCGGAUGAGGAGCUACCCUGCGGAGCGUCCCGCAGCCAGUAAACCCCAAUAAGCUGCCCAAAAUCUGGGAAUUUCGCGGGGAAAGGUGCGCGUUAAACAACAACAAAUAGCGUUGUUUUGCAAGAGAGUGGGAGAGGGAUCGUUCCAGAUUGCCGAAGUGUGAGUGAGUGGAAAAGAAAACGCCAAGAAGUUGGCUGAUAAAGCAAACACACAUACUCGCACACACGCACGGAAAAUAGAAAAAUUCGAAAAAUAAUAAUAAUCAGCAAGCAGGAGAAGAAGCAGCAGCAGUACAAACAGCAAAUGUGUAGUUGUGAUCGAAAAUCGAAAGUGUGAAGCAUUUUCUAUAAAUAGUGCAAAAUCAAAAUCAAAUUCCCAGUGCAAACAAAACGCAAUUAAGCAAUAAGAAAAACAAGAAAAAAAAAAAUUGAAAACAGCGAGCCCAUAAACACGAUAUAUCUGGAGAGGUUGAUCUCACAGAGCACGCGCUCUGCAUCGAAUAGCAGGAUUAUCGGAAGGAUCAUCUAGAAAGGAUCACCAAGAUGUCCUCGCUGGACGCACGUAACAAUUCCGCGAUGAUGAAGCGGGCGGAGCAGCUGAAGCGCUGGGAGGAGUCGGACACCAACCGCGCCGCUCCCACUCCCCGCCACGAGCACGGCCGAAGGAUCAAGUUCAGCUCCGGCUGCGUCUUCCUUGCCGCCUGUCUCUCCGGCGACAAGGAUGAGGUCGUCCAGCUGCUCGAUCAAGGAGCUGACAUCAACACGGCCAACGUGGACGGACUCACUGCUCUGCAUCAGGCGUGCAUAGAUGACAAUCUGGACAUGGUGGAGUUUCUGGUGGAGCGAGGUGCCGAUAUCAACCGACAGGAUAACGAGGGCUGGACGCCCCUGCAUGCCACUGCCUCCUGCGGGUUCGUGAGCAUAGCGCGGUAUCUGGUGGAAAAUGGCGCUGAUGUGGCCGCUGUGAACAGCGAUGGCGAUCUGGCCUUGGAUUUGGCCAUCGAUGUGCAGCACAUGGCCAUGAUCGACUACAUGGAGAAGAUGGUGCAGGAGCUGAACAUCAAUGUGGAUGAGGCUCGAAAGGCCGAGGAGCAGGCGAUGCUGAACGAUGCCAAAAAGUGGCUGAGAAGCGAUGCCGCCGAGGUGGACAGACCGCAUCCGAAAACGGGAGCCACUGCACUCCACGUUGCCGCCGCCAAGGGUUAUACGAAAGUGCUGGGAUUGCUCCUGGCUGGUCGCGGUAAUGUGGAUCGCCAGGAUAACGAUGGCUGGACGCCACUGCAUGCGGCAUCGCACUGGGGUCAACGGGAAACGGCCGAGAUGCUCGUGGAAUCGCUGGCCGACAUGGACAUACGCAACUAUGCCGGCCAAUCCUGCAUCGAUGUGGCCGAUCGCAAAAUAGUCAAAUUCCUGGAAGAACUGCGGGCCAACAAGCGCAACAAGCGGCGACCAUCUAGUCAAAUCAGCAGAAUCUCAGAUGCGAUUGAAAAUCAUGUGGACAAGACGCCCACCAAAUUGGUUCGCGUUGAAGUGAGAACUGAUGCCACAAAGGAUGCUGAGAACGUCAAGCCCAAUCAGCAGAUCCACGCCGCCGAACAUCCAGUCGAGGAGGAGGCGCCCUGGCGACGCAAGCUGCCACGCACACCCAACGACAGUCCCACUAAUAAUCAAGUUCCUGAUAGAGAGCUUAGCAGCAACAGCUCGGAGACCGCCAACGACGUCAUUUUGCGACGCACGCAAAGCUUUGAGAACGAUCAAAAGUUCUAUCAAAAGUACAACGAGCUGAGGGCACGCAUAAAGGCCAAUUCCUGUCCCAUUCUGCCGGCGAAUGCGAAUGCGAAUGCUAAUAAUGCCGCCAAUAAUGCUGCCAAUAAUUCCAAUAACAAUAACAAUCUAAGUAGCAAUAACAAUCAUAAUAACAACAAUAACAAUAACAAAAGCGAUCUGCUGUUGGGAUAUGCUGCUGGCACAACAACAACAACAACGAGCACUUCCACAACAACAACAACAACUAGUACAUUCAACAACACCCACUUGAACACCAACAACACAAGCACACCACAACAACAGCAACAAACAGCAGCAACAGCAUCGGCAACAAAUCAAUUAUAUAGCGUACAAAGAUCGGCUUCACUCAAAGAUAACUCAAUGUAUUACAGGAAACCGACGGUUACUAUUGCCACGCCCACAAGUACAGCAGCCACGGCAAACACGGCGCUCAAUUCACCAUCGACAGUACAGACCCCACCAAUACGAAGCCAAGUACCAGCUAAAACAGCUGAAAAGAGCAAUAAUGGCAGCUCGUCCACGGCCAGUGUCAGCGAUGCGGAGAGCUCCAAGCCACCGCCAAAGCAAUCCGCGAGCAAUAUGAUCAAGAACUUCUUCAAAUCCUUUGUGCCACCAGUGCGCGAUGAGGAGAGCGAAACGCAGCGGAAGGCACAUGCCAAGCGCGUGAGGGAGACGCGUCGGUCCACCCAAGGCGUUACCCUGGACGAGAUCAAGAGUGCCGAGGAGCUGGUCAAGAAGAAGAACAUGGGCAUGGCCAACAACAACAAUAACAACAAUAUCAGCGCCACCACCACGAACACGAUUAGCAACAGCGGCAACGAAACAAGCUCAGCAUCAUCGACAUCAGCGCCCACGUCAUCAGCCACGUCAUCGGUUCUCGGCGGCAAUGAGCAGCGGGACGAGUCGCAACCGCCGCCACCGCCCACCACACCACCGCCAGCCAUAAUACCCACCACAACGACGGCCACCGAUGAGACGGAGAUCGAGGAGGUGGUUGCCACCAGUCCACCAUCAUCAGUCCAAUCAGUUGGCCAAAGCGACACCACAGCCACGUUCACGCUCACCGCUCCGGUGCGAAGAUCCCUUUCGGGCGAGGGCGAUGCCAACAGCGAUCCCGAAGGCGAUCAGGAUCUGUCGGUGGUCAGUGCCAGCUAUACGAUAAUGCCACGGCCCAGGGAUAAGCUACCAGACACAGAAAGCAACCGAACACCACAAAAGACUGAUCCAGUUGCCAAGAGUUCCUCCAGCGAAGAGGAGGUGCCGCAUAUCAGGCCCACGGAUUUGCCGCUGAUCCCGGUUCCUUCGGCCAGCACGGAGGUUAUUAAGUCCUCCUCCGCGGCCACCACUCCUGCUGCCCUGGAAAGUCCAGUGCGUUUGCGGGACAAGCGGGGAUUGAGUGGCAGCCAGGAAUCGGAAACCAAAUCCGAUACCGCCUCGCCUGUUUCCUCGCAUCCGGACUUCAAUGCCCGGGAUUCGCUACUCAGUUUGUAUGCUCGUCGCACAACGGAUAGCAGCGCGGGAGGAGGAGGCGGUGGUGGUGCUGGUGGUGCAGGUGGUGCUGCUUCCUCGACUUCAACUUCCGCAGCAGAAAGGCGUCCUUCUUGGCGCCUGAAAUUCGAUGCCGGCUCCAAGUUUAAACUGGAGGACAUAACCAGCGGUGGCACUUAUCCGCCCAAUAAUAGCACCAUUAUACCCAGUGCUCCGGCGGUGAUGGCAGCCGCCAAUCUGUCCACCACAACUGGUGUCCAACGGCGCAUCAGCAGCGGUCCCAAUGCACUAAAUGCUUCCAAUCAGUCGCUCAACUCUGUCGGUCGUCCUGUUUCUGCUCCUAGUGAGGCCACCAACAAUAGCGCCUAUGUGAGUCCUUCAGCACGUAAAUACGAAACGAAUGCCACGUCAACGGGAGCGAACUCGGCAGCAGCCGCAGCGACCACUAACUCAACCUCCAAUUCAGUGUCUGCAACCAGUGCCAAUCAUGCAGCGGCUACGGCCACCAAUGCCACGUCAAACCAUGACGAUAAGGCAGAUAACGACAAGGAGAACGACAAUCGCACACAGACCGUCAUUCAGAGGCGACGCAAACCGAAGCGCAGAUCAACUGGGGUGGUGCAGAUCGGCAUGGAGGAAUUGGAUCAGGAGCGACAGAACGAAUCGUCUAACAAUGACAACGAGGAAAAGGAUAAGGAGAGCGGCAGUGAGCGGACAUCUCGCUCCCGCCUGGGCAGCACCACGAGUACGGCGACCACGAGCGAGUCGAAGAGCUCCAGCAGCAACGACAAGGCGGAGAAUGGCGACGGCAUUGAUUACAAGGCGCUCUGGGAAGCGGCCAAAUUGGAGAACGAUAAGCUGAAGCAGAUGCUCAAGCAGAAGGACGACGAAGCCGUCCAGACUCGUGCAACGCUUGAGAGAUUCGCCAAUGCAACAACGAAAAAUUCACUAUCUGAACUUGAGAAACGCGAAAGAAGAGCUAUGGAACGCAAGCUUUCCGAGUUGGAAGAAGAGCUCAAGCUAUUGCAGAAGCUAAAGACUGAGAACGACCGUCUGCGAGCCGAGAAUCGGGCCCUCACGCGGGUCGUCUCCAAGCUGACCACCUCGGCUCAGAGUCAGCUGGCCAAGAGCAAAUAGGCGCAGAUCAAAAGCAUUUAGAUUGCCCAGCACCAGCCCACAUACGCCCAAAAUUCUCACACACACACACCCCUUGCUGCUCACAAGCACAAUAUCUUUAUAUUAGAACUGGAAAACAUCGAUGUUUUUCUAGUUUCUGUUUCUACAAUACUUAACACACUUCGAUGUUGUUAAAAAAAAUAUUAUAUUUGAUAUAUUAAGCAUAACCGAGUACACAAUAACUAAAUGUAUCGUAGCUAAAUUAAGAGCUCAUUGGCUUUGGACUGGUCACCGGUAAUAUAAUAUAAACCUUAAUCUUUACGAUAAUCUCCUUGGGAGUUAAUAUACACUACAUAAAAAUCAAACCCUUUGAUAAAACAGCAAACUUAAAAAGUAGUUAAUUUUUAAAUAGUAAAAUAUUUAUCUCUCGGCUUCAACUAUUUUGGUAAUCUAAAAUACGCAUUAGGGAGAAAUGUUUGCGAAUUUAUAAUGUAACGAAUAUCAAACUACUAUAUCAUGUAUGGGAACUACAGACCACUGUACUGUUUAUAAGUACUUAUAAAUCAAAAGUAAAUCAAAGUAAAGCUCAUCGGAACCAACGAGAUUAAUCAUCAAGUCCCCACCACCAGAAAAAGAAAGUAACAGCAGCAUCAGCAAAUAGCAAUCCAAGGAUCUGGGAAUUAUAACUAUAACUUAUCGAGAUUAUCGAUAAGUCAAGAGUAUCGAUCAUCAUGGGAGAGCGAAGUGGUCUAGUUUUGGUGAUGCUGGAAGCUUAACGCAACUCGAUGCCUACAAGUCGGAUAAUCAUCGCCUGAAGGAGGAGAACGCCGCGUUGAUUAGAGUAAUUAGUAAAUUAAGUAAAUGAAAUUAUGUUUUACUUUCAGUGUAUGUAUGUCUGAGAACCUAUAUCAUCGAGAAGCAACAAUUUUACUUUAUUUACCAGCUGUAAAAAUGCUGAAAAAAAAAACAGAGAAGAGAGUGUUAAAGUGAAAGGCGAUGUAAGCGAAAGCGGGAUAUUCGCGUUGAAAUUUCUAAAUUUGUUUAUUAUUUGUGUUAGGCCCUUAAGAAUUAGGUGAAACCAUGUUUCAAAUAUCGUUGAGAAUUGUUUCGUUCGUUUUUAUAUAAACAAAAAUCUUAUGUAUUUGGUCAAAUUUUAUAUACGAAAUAGAGCAAAUUAUAAAUAAACUUAAACACAAAUCAAGCUUAACUAUAUUUACAUAAACAUACGCAAAAAAGGAUCGAAGAGAAAUGAAAAACAAAAACCUUUACAUACAAACUGAGAACAUAUUCAUCAAAUGAGCCCUAGUUACAUUACAGAUUAGUUUAACUACAUACGUAUAUAAAUAUAUAUAUAUUUUUUCAUAUAUAAAUUAUAUAUACACAUUACAUAAUAUAUAUAUAUAUAUUUAAAGCAACAGAAUCAUAAGUUCAACAUUUCAAUGUGUAAUAUCAUCAAGGAUCCAGACCGCCAGUUGGGCAAGUCCGGAGAUGUAUGGAAACCAGCCCACGCGUCAACUUACUAAGUGUAAUCGUUAUCAUCCAAUUAUAAUUGUGUUUAGUGCUGCAGAUAUAUAUGCAUAGGCAUCGGUGAGGUCGUCGUUUAAAGCUAUAGUACUAUAUAGUACCCCUUUAACUGAGGAGUCUUCGUUUGCAAAAAACAAAGAAACUCCGUGGCGCUAUCCUGUAGAUCAGAGUGGUUUUCACUGCAGAUGCACUAUUAUUUCUAUUUUUUGAGUACCUUAAUUUAAGCAGACUUUUAGUUUUCUCCUUCACUUCGAAACGUAUUAUAUACAUUUACAUCGUACUAUAUAUUUACUUUCGCUUAUAACGAAACAAAUGAUCAUACGCAUAUUUCUGUUAUUUAUUAAAUUCGCUUAAGAGAUUUUGUGUUACUCGUAAAUGGAAAACGAUAAUCAAGCAUAAACAAAACAUAAAAAAACUUGAAUUGUGUAAUAUGUAAAAUUGUGUGAGAAAAUAUUUAAGAAAAUUUGAUUCAAAUACGAAACUUAAUAAAUGUGAUCGCAAGCAAA